UACGUAGGGGGCAAGCGUUGUCCGGAAUCAUUGGGCGUAAAGCGCGUGUAGGCGGUUCAGUAAGUCUGCUGUGAAAGUCCAGGGCUCAACCCUGGGAUGCCGGUGGAUACUGCUGGGCUAGAGUACGGAAGAGGCGAGUGGAAUUCCCGGUGUAGCGGUGAAAUGCGCAGAUAUCGGGAGGAACACCUAUUGCGAAGGCAGCUCGCUGGGACGUUACUGACGCUGAGGAGCGAAAGCGUGGGUAGCGAACAGG
rnacentral:rRNA from 1 species